UGCGGUGUGCGUCCCUCCCGAAGCUGCGCGCUCGGUCGAAGAGGACGACCAUCCCCGAUAGAGGAGGACCGGUCUUCGGUCAAGAGUAUACGAGUAGCUGCGCUCCCCUGCUAGAACCUCCAAACAAGCUCUCAAGUUCAUUUUCUACUAACUAUCCCCAUGAUUAUUAUCUUCGUUUGAAACUUCAUUCUCUCUACAGAU
rnacentral:snRNA from 1 species